UCAUAUCAAUGCAAAAACCCACAAAUGGCCCCCAGGGCGCACUUUGGACACCCCUGGCGUAAAAGAACCUAAAAAAAAACGUGAAACUCAAAGUAAAAUAGACAAAAUUCCUAAAUGUGAAAUAUCCCAGGGACAUUUGAGUGGGAUAUUUUUGGUUGGAUUGAUUCCUCCAUCUCAGGAUGAAUGUCGUCAGCCGCCAUCCACUGAGAGGAAGAAGAGGAACAAAGAAAGGUGAUGGAAGAUGAAUCCGUGAUGUGUCAUCGUGAAGGACAAAGACGACUCACACGAUCCCAGAGGACGAUCUCGGCCUUCAUUGGGGGGUCUUUAAAAGCCAUCGGUUUUUGUGCUGAGCGCGUCCGAAGCCCUCGUCGUAGUUCCCGCUUCUCCGGAACAGUUGUUGGUAGUGAAAUAUGCAGUAGAACUCCCCAUGUAAAGUUUGGUGACCUAAAGCUGCUUUCACUGACUUCCCAGGCCUUAAAUCAUCUUUGGAAAAGCUUAACAGGCUUCCAUCCAGAGCGGCGACGCUGUCGGAGGAGUCUGCGGUAGAACCCUCGUCAGCCAGCAGAGGGCGCAAAAGACCAGGAUAAAGAUGUGCAACGUGCAGCAGUGAGGUUAGCCCAGGCCAAGCAGUGGAGGAGCAGGAGCAUUCAGGGGCGCCUGCAGCCAUUGGACUGCUUCCUUGGUCUACCUGGAGGUCCACGCUCACAAGCAGCCAGCGUGGGCUAUGUAACGAGGUGCGUACGUGACUCAAGACAGCCUGGCCUUCACCGUGGCUUGUUGACGUGGGUGACGCUUGAUGACUCACAUGGACACCACUAUGAAACCAUGACCCAAAAUAUACUUCAACCAAGCGCUGGUGAUCGCCAAGGUCUUCACAUCUUCUGAUUUUCUCCACUAUCUCAUGUCCUGUUGCUACUUUUUGGAAAUAUUGUCCAAUGGUGUUGGAUUUCCUGCGAAAACAGACAUGGCCGUCAGCAAAUAUGUCCGUCUGGCCGGCUGGCUUGUGCCGUGCAACAUGAUAGCCCUUUUGAGACGCGCUCCUGAGUCUUUCCCGCCGAGGGACGUCUCAGGAGCAGAAGGCGGCGUGUCGGCCUCACCGUCUUCUUAUUAUUCUGCCAACUGCCCUGUCGGUUGCCAUGACAGCAUCGGGGGAACUCCAGGAACCCCUCCACAUUUGGCCUAUUUAGAAAGAACCCUACCACCAAGCCAUCCUGUGAGUGGAUUGGUUUUCCGCCGACCCGCCCUCGAUGUGGACCAGCUGGGACCACAAAUGGAGGGGCACCUGAACCUGUAAUCACCGAUGACAAAAGCCUCCACUGCUCCCGAUCCGAUUUCCAUCCCCAAUGAGGAACGUUGGAAGCCGUGUCCCACAAGACAUCCGACAUGAUCUCGCUCUUGUUUGGAUGAACCCGGGGGGGACGCAUUGUGGAAGGCGGCGGGGGCGUUAACCUGAUGGAACGGAUGCCAGCGAGGGUAGUGCUGUGAUGGUACACCAAGCCAAGCAAGCACAUGGGUGGGGGUGGGCGGUCAACCACUGACAGACCUUGGCUGUCACCACUGAAGCGUCCUCCGUCUCGUACACCGCUACCCUAGUUUACUUGAGCGAUGGCGUCACUUUUGGAAAUGAGGAAGUGCCACAGCUCGUCAACUAGAAAUGACAUCUUUGUCAAUUUACUGUUGACAUUAACGAAUCAAACCAUGUAGAACUUCAUUCCAACAAGUAUAUGACAUAUUGAGGCAAAGUUGAUGAUUCCGGUCAGGGACCGCUCGGCUCCCAUUCGGCGAGGAUGCGUGGUUGCGGGUUGGAAGAUGAUGUUUGUCUGUCCUGGUCGCCGUGGCGUCUUGGCUGGUGUGAGUCAUGUGUACCUUCCAAAUCAGCCAAACUGAUUCAUGGCUGAGCCGAUGCGGUGAGUCAGCCUGACAUGCCUCCUCCGUAGCGGUGUGGGCUCAGCCGGAGUUGGCCUCCUCCCUGCUUUUGUCAUCGCUUCUGCAUGUGCUCGAACGCCGUGUUCUGCAGCGGAGAAAAAAACACGACGUAGCAAAGGAGCAAACAUGGCGGCAUCCAGUGUGCCUGUUUUUCCUGGAAAGUACUGCUUGUGUCAGGAAUUGUAGAAUCGCCACGGAAUGUUUUUGAGCUGGCCAUCUGUUUAGCAUCUUUUGUUGCAAUACCACAGUCAUCCACAGGGGUCAGCAGUGAGUCAUUAGGGUGCAAAUGCGUUGUACUGAGUACUUAGUCCGAUUCUUAUGGGUAAAACUUCACCUGGUGGACGUAUACUUGUCAACACUCCCUUAUACCAGGAACACCCGUAUUUUGCCCUUUACUUUCAGGUACAUUUCCUGUAUUUUUACUUGGAAUCUGGUACUGCAGAUGACAAUGCUAACGAUAUCCGUGCCUGUGUUUGCAAAUGUGACCUAUGAAAGAGUAUUUUUGUGUAUUAUGUGUUGCUAGGAGUUAUCUUCCUUCUUGGUAGAAGUGAAAUACCUGGUACUGAAAUACCUAUUUUGUACAAUUUCCUGAAAUUUCAUUGGAACGUAAGCAUUAUUUGCACGCCGUUAUCGUGUCCUUGCUGGUUUCCUUGACAACAUGCAUGAAUAUAUUCCUCCAACAUACACUUUGGACAUGUCAUUUUGGGUGUUAAUGACCCAGGUAAUUUUAACAAACAAAUACAUUUAAUUGAUUUGAUACAAGUAUGAAAAAUACAUGAAAAAAGUACAAAUACAAAUGGAAAAGUAUAAAACAGACGUGACGGUAGAGCGUAGCUUCCAGGGUUGGUGUGCGUUGUU